CCUCCCUCACGGUGGCCUGUUGAGGCAGGGGCUCACGCUGACCUCUGUCAGCGUGGGAGGAGCCGGUGUGAGGCAGGGGCUCACGCCUCUGGGCAGGGUGCCAGAGGCAUGAGUUGGGCAUCAACAGGCCACCGGGAGGCAGGAGGUGGGCCCGAAGAGCUUGGCUGGAGAAAGUUCGGGGCCUACAAAGGCGGUUGGGAGCUGGGCAGGAGCUAAGCCAAAAAAGCUUGCUUACUUGCUGGGAGGCAGGGCCGGGAGAGGCCGACUUCAGGACGACUUGGGCCUGCAGAGGUCGCCGGGAGGCCCAAGCUGGGCGUGGAGGAGCCCACUGGCCGGAGACCAUUUGGGGCCUGGAGACACCAUCGGAGGGCAGGAGCUGAUCCUGGAGAGGCCACCGUGAGGCCUGACCUGGGCCUGGGGAGCUUGGCUUGAGGAAGCUGUGGGCCGACCAAGGCCGCCAGGAGAUGGGCAGGCACUGAGUCCAAAGAGGUUGUUGGGAGGCAGGAGUCGGGCCUGGAGACGCAGCCGGGAGGAAGAGCUGGGCCUGGAGAGGACGCCCGGAGGGUGCAAGUGGGUCUGGAGAGGCCAACUUGAGGAGGUUCUGGGCCCGGAGAGGCCGCCGGAAGGGAAAAACGGGGCCUGGAAAGGCCGUUGUGAGGAAUGAGCCCCAUGGGCCUGAAGAGGCACUGGCAGGCGGGAGCUGGGCCUGCCGAAGCGGCCGAGAGGCAGGAGCUUUGGACUGGGGAGGCCGCAGUGAGGCGAGAGCUAGCUGGGCGUGGAGAGUCUGCUGUGAGGCAGAGGCUGGGCCUGUGCAGGCUUCGGGAGGCAGGAGGCCGGGCCUUGUCGAGGCCUGCAGAGGCCGCCAAAAGUCAAAAGCGGGGCCUGGGAAGGCCGCCCAGAGGCAUGAGCUGGGCUGGGCCGAAAGAGGCACUGGGAGGCAGGAGGAGCUGGGCCUGGAGAGGCUGACUCGAGGAACUUUUGCACCCGGAGAGGCCGCCGAGAGGCUGGAGCUGGGCCUGGGGAGGCCAACUUGAGGACGACUUGGGCCUGCAGAGGGCGCCGGGAGGCAGGAGCUGGCCCUGGACAGGCCGACUUGAUGACAGUCUGGGCCUGCAGAGGCCGCCGGGAGGAAGAGCUGGGCCUGGAGAGGCUGCCAAGAAGCAUGAGCUGGGCCUGGUGACGUCGACUUGAGAAAGUUCAGGGCCUAGAGAGAAGGCUGGGAGGCAGGAGCUGGGUCUAAAGAGGCCAUUGUAACGAUGGAGCUGUGCCUGUGGAGGCUGUUGUGAGGCAGUAGCCUCAUCUGCGGAGACUGCCGUGAGGUAGGGUAUGGGCCUAAAUAGGCCAUUGUGAGUCAUGAGCUUGGUCUGUGGAGGCCGACUGGAGAAAGUUCUGGGCCUGGAGAGGCUGCCGGGAGGUAGGAGCUGGGCCAAAAGAUUUAAGCAGAUUACAUUUAUUAGGCACUUUAUUUCCAUUAGUACACUGUAAUAUAUAAUAAAAUAAUUAUAGAACUCACCAUAAUGUAGAAUCAGUGGGCGUGUUAAGCUCGUUUUCCUGCAACUGGAUGGUCCCACCUGAGCGUGAUGGGAGAAAGUGACAGAUCAAUAGGUAUUAGAGUCUCAUAAGGACAGCGCAACCUAGAUCCCUCACAUGCACGGUUCACAACAGGGUGCGUUCUCCUAUGAGAAUCUAAUGCUACUGCUGAUGUGAGAAGGUGGAGCUCAGGCGGGAAUGUGAGCAAAGGGGAGUGGUUGUAAAUACAGACGAAGCUUCCCUCACUCCCUCACUCGACACACUCACCUCCUGCUGUGUGGCUCCUUACGGCUCCAUGGCUCAGGGGUUGGGGACCCCUGCUCAAGAGCAUCCAAAACGACCCUUCCCACACCAGUCUUCAUAGUGGUCAAGUGCAGCAACCACUUAGCUCCCAAGGCAUGUGCCUCAGCUGGCAUGUCAUCACAAUCAACAGUAAGUGGUAGCUUGAGUCAUUGUGAGGUCACUUCCUGGAAAUCACCAGCAUCCCAUUUCCCACUGGCAAAGAGCUCAGCACUGCCCCCUGGGAAACCAAACCUAUGCCCAAAUCCCAUCUGUGUGGGUUUAUCUCCUGGGACCCUUCCUAACAUAUUAGUCAGAGUCCAAUCAGGAAGCAUAAACCACUCAAAAGUUUAAAGUGGUAAAAUUUAAUACAGAGAAUUAUUCAUUAUAACAGGUGAGCAGCAUAAUGAGAGAUUGGCUAGCACAAAGUAAAGAGAACUCUAGAGAAUAUAGGACUAGCCCAGGCCAGGCAUGGUGGCUCAUGCCUGAAAUUCCAGCAAUUUGAGAAGCUAAUGCAGGAGGAUUGCUUAAGGCCAGGAGCUAGAGACCGGUCUGGACAACACAGUGAGACCCUGUCUCUAUCCAAAAAAAGAAAAAAAUUAGCUGGGAGUGAUGGUGCACACUUGUAGUCCCAGCUACUCGGAAUGCUAAAGUUUGAGCCUGGGAGGUCAAGGCUGCAGUCAGGCAUGAUUAUGCCACUACAGUCCAGCCUGGUGACAGAGCAAGACCCUGUCUCAAAGAACAAAACAACAACAACCAUUUACAGACAGAAAAGAAAUAGAGCUAAUAAGCUAAGGAAAGAUGUUGAAAUGUGACAAGCAAAGUAAUAUGAGGUCUUUUAUCUAUUUAAAAUAAUCAAACAAAAAAUGACUUAAUUAUAAUACCCUGUGCUGGCAAAGGUGCAGUGAAAUGGGCACUUUCUUAUACUAUGAGGGGUGUUUAAAUUGUGUAUAAGCCUUCCAGGGUAAAG
rnacentral:lncRNA from 10 species